GUGUUAAUUUUAGUUUACCUGGGUAAUAUUAGUUAAGGUCUUUAAACCCAAAGAAUUUGGCGGUAUUUCAUUCCAUUCAGAGGAACCUAUCUCUUAAUUGAUAGUACACGAUUGACUUUACUUGAUUUAUUUGUUUGUAUAUCUCCGUUAUCAGAAAAUCUUUUUGAAGUUAUAAUUUUCCUGUUUUCUCAUUAGAAAUUAUUUCAGGUCAAGGUGCAGCUUAUAAUCAAGUGUGUGAUGGGUUACAAUAAAUUUUUUUAUUAUGGAUUUAAUUUUGAAAAUUUUUAAUGAAGGUGGAUUUGAUAGUAAUUUAAUUUAUUUAAUUUAAUUGAUAUUGGCUCU
rnacentral:rRNA from 1 species